rnacentral:rRNA from 1 species
GGUGAACGCUGGCGGCGUGCUUAAGACAUGCAAGUCGAACGGCAGUCUUCGGACUGUAGUGGCGCACGGGUGAGUAACGCGUAACUGACCUACCCCAAAGUCGCGGAUAACGAUUCGAAAGAAUCGCUAAUACGUGAUGUGCUGUCAGAUUGUGUUCUGCCAGUAAAGAUUGAUUGCUUUGGGAUGGGGUUGCGUUCCAUCAGCUAGUUGGUGGGGUAAAGGCCCACCAAGGCGACGACGGAUAGCCGGCCUGAGAGGGUGGCCGGCCACAGGGGCACUGAGACACGGGUCCCACUCCUACGGGAGGCAGCAGUUAGGAAUCUUCCACAAUGGGCGAAAGCCUGAUGGAGCGACGCCGCGUGAGGGAUGGAGGUCUUCGGAUCGUAAACCUCUGAAUCAGGGACGAAAGACACUUCGGUGGGAUGACGGUACCUGAGUAAUAGCACCGGCUAACUCCGUGCCAGCAGCCGCGGUAA